rnacentral:rRNA from 1 species
AACGAACGCUGGCGGCAGGCCUAACACAUGCAAGUCGAGCGGGUCCUUCGGGACUAGCGGCGGACGGGUUAGUAACGCGUGGGAACGUGCCCAAAGGUACGGAAUAGCCUCGGGAAACUGAGAGUAAUACCGUAUGUGCCCCUCGGGGGAAAGAUUUAUCGCCUUUGGAUCGGCCCGCGUUGGAUUAGGUAGUUGGUGGGGUAAUGGCCUACCAAGCCGACGAUCCAUAGCUGGUUUGAGAGGAUGAUCAGCAACACUGGGACUGAGACACGGCCCAGACUCCUACGGGAGGCAGCAGUGGGGAAUCUUAGACAAUGGGGGAAACCCUGAUCUAGCCAUGCCGCGUGAGCGAUGAAGGCCUUAGGGUUGUAAAGCUCUUUCAGCUGGGAAGAUAAUGACGGUACCAGCAGAAGAAGCCCCGGCUAACUCCGUGCCAGCCGCCGCCGUAAGAC